rnacentral:lncRNA from 1 species
CUGCUGUUUGGCUUUUGGGAUAAAAGUCCGAAUCACUUGUCCUCAUGUGACUGAGGUUUUGAUAUGAAAAGCCUUAAAUACCGGUACUUAAGAAAACAGCCUGGGAGUGCAAUCCGGAUCGAAAAGCAAGUUUCUGCUGGUUGGUCCUUGACUUCACUAUCUCACGCAAGUGCUGGUGUAUUCACUGAAGUUCCCUUGCAGCUGCCCCGUGAUAGGCGGGGUGGGGUGACCCACAGGAAGCAAUGGUGACUACACAGAGCUAACGGUGAUUGUCCCACUACUCUUCAGAUCAGAUCAGACUCUUCGGUGGAAAUGGUUUUAAGGAAUGAUGGUCAGGAGGAGCUCUCACCUCCCAUCUGGUGCAGUUCUAGAGGGACGCAAAGCCCUAAAGCCUGUGUUAAUACACCGGAAGGAGCAACUGCAUGGUUUGGCCCGAAUCCUCCACAGAAACACAUCAUCCAAGUAGACCAAACAGACCCCCUGAAGACCUUCCUGAAGGGGGAGCCCCAAACCCUGGGGGUGGCGCAGAUCCUGAUUGGUCUGAUGAAAGUGUGCCUAUUUGCCAUAGUUCUUCGUAUCGGGAGCUGUGUCUAUUGCUGCUGGGAGAAGGAUGACAUUAAACCUGGGAGGAAGAGCAUGAGACAGAGGGACGUAGGGGACACAGAUCAUUCUCUUCCAGAUCAAAGGCAGCCUGGGAAUGAACAUACUCAGUGCCGUGGUUGGGGGAAUAGGGGUAAUCAUCUUAACAGUAGAACUGGCUGUGGAUCAUGGAUCGGAAAAAAGGUGUCUUAUUCUUAGGGUAUUCGAGACUGUGAUAUUAGUCCUCUCCCUGCUGGAAGUCAGCAUCACUAUCUCUCUUUCUGUGUUUGGGUGCAAGGUGACCUGCUUUGUCACACAGGUAAGUGGUCAGGGCCUGAGGGAGGGUUCACAUUUGUCAUGUGAUACUGAGUCUGUGUUCCCCGUGCCUCUCACUGUGUCUCUUCUCCCUGAACCAAUGAGAAGCCUAAAGCAGCAGCGUGAAGGAAAGAUAGUUGAGCAUGUGACUCCUUCCUGAACUUGGAGAGAACAGCGGAACACAGGGAGAGCUAUGGCAGAUGUUUCCGGAAGCCUCCUCGGUCUUGCUGGAUAUUGAUGUUUAUCUAGUGGGGCUGUAAGGACGUGAAGGAAGGGAUUUUAACUCUCAGGUCCCAGGACACAGAAAAGAAGUAGGGCCCCCCAGGAUGAGUUGAAUCCCUCUGGCUGGAAGAGUAUGUGGAUAACAAUAAUAUUAUUCCCAAUCUUCACAGGUGGUGGUUAUCCAGCCAACCAAUGACCAGGUGCCUCCAGUAAAGGCCCCUUAUGAACAUGUCUAUGAGGAUCUGGAGUUUUAACAGAAGAGUUCCUGCUUUUAGAAAAAAUUAUUCAUUGAGCAUCACUAGGUCAAUAAUAACCUGCCUGCCAGAAAGGGUUCACAUCUGUGCGUGGGAACAUAGUUAUUACAAAACCAAAUAAAAUACAUUUUCCCUCUAUUGAUGUUGAUUGU